rnacentral:rRNA from 1 species
CGCGCAAGAUUAGAUAGUUGGUGAGGUAACGGCUCACCAAGUCAGCGAUCUUUAGGGGGCCUGAGAGGGUGAUCCCCCACACUGGUACUGAGACACGGACCAGACUCCUACGGGAGGCAGCAGUGAGGAAUAUUGGACAAUGGGUGAGAGCCUGAUCCAGCCAUCCCGCGUGAAGGACGACGGCCCUAUGGGUUGUAAACUUCUUUUGUAUAGGGAUAAACCUACCCUCGUGAGGGUAGCUGAAGGUACUAUACGAAUAAGCACCGGCUAACUCCGUGCCAGCAGCCGCGGUAAUACGGAGGGUGCAAGCGUUAUCCGGAUUUAUUGGGUUUAAAGGGUCCGUAGGCUGAUUUGUAAGUCAGUGGUGAAAUCUCACAGCUUAACUGUGAAACUGCCAUUGAUACUGCAAGUCUUGAGUGUUGUUGAAGUAGCUGGAAUAAGUAGUGUAGCGGUGAAAUGCAUAGAUAUUACUUAGAACACCAAUUGCGAAGGCAGGUUACUAAGCAACAACUGACGCUGAUGGACGAAAGCGUGGGGGGCGAACAGGAUUAGAUGCCCUGGUAGUCCACGCCGUAAACGAUGCUAACUCGUUUUUGGGCUUUUGGGUUCAGAGACUAAGCGAAAGUGAUAAGUUAGCCACCUGGGGAGUACGAACGCAAGUUUGAAACUCAAAGGAAUUGACGGGGGCCCGCACAAGCGGUGGAUUAUGUGGUUUAAUUCGAUGAUACGCGAGGAACCUUACCAAGGCUUAAAUGGGAAAUGACAGGCUUAGAAAUAGGCUUUUCUUCGGACAUUUUUCAAGGUGCUGCAUGGUUGUCGUCAGCUCGUGCCGUGAGGUGUUAGGUUAAGUCCUGCAACGAGCGCAACCCCUGUCACUAGUUGCCAUCAUUAAGUUGGGGACUCUAGUGAGACUGCCUACGCAAGUAGAGAGGAAGGUGGGGAUGACGUCAAAUCAUCACGGCCCUUACGCCUUGGGCCACACACGUAAUACAAUGGCCGGUACAGAGGGCAGCUACACUGCGAAGUGAUGCAAAUCUCGAAAGCCGGUCUCAGUUCGGAUUGGAGUCUGCAACUCGACUCUAUGAAGCUGGAAUCGCUAGUAAUCGCGCAUCAGCCAUGGCGCGGUGAAUACGUUCCCGGGCCUUGUACACACCGCCCGUCAAGCCAUGGAAGUCUGGGGUACCUGAAGUCGGUGACCGUAACAGGAGCUGCCUAGGGUAAAACAGGUAACUAGGGCUAAAGUCGUAACAAAGGUAA